GAUGAACGCUAGCGGCAGGCUUAAUACAUGCAAGUCGAGGGACAGCACAGGUAGCAAUACUGGGUGGUAACCGGCAAACGGGUGCGGAACACGUACACAACUUUCCUUUAAGUGGGGGAUAGCCCAGAGAAAUUUGGAUUAAUACCCCGUAAUAUAGUUGAAUGGCAUCAUUUGAUUAUUAUAGCUACGGCGCUUAAUGAUGGGUGUGCGGCUGAUUAGGUAGUUGGCGGGGUAACGGCCCACCAAGUCUACGAUCAGUAGCUGAUGUGAGAGCAGGAUCAGCCACACGGGCAAUGAGACACGGGCCCGACUCCUACGGGAGGCAGCAGUAAGGAAUAUUGGUCAAUGGACGCAAGUCUGAACCAGCCAUGCCGCGUGAAGGAUUAAGGUCCUCUGGAUUGUAAACUUCUUUUAUUUGGGACGAAAAAGGGCCUUUCUAGGUCAACUGACGGUACCAGAUGAAUAAGCACCGGCUAACUCCGUGCCAGCCGCCGCCGUAACAC
rnacentral:rRNA from 1 species